rnacentral:lncRNA from 1 species
GAGACUGUCUUAAGAAAAGAAAAAAUUGGCUGCUACAAUGGAGGUGAAAGUUUGGCUUACUGUCAUUCUGGCAAACUAAAUUUGUAAAGAGAACAAUUACCAACCCUUACCAGCCAUAGAAUUAGAUCAUGAGAGGUAGAUAAGAUACACUUGACACCCCAUCCUGGUCUUCACGGUGACUGACAUCUCAGCCCUUCCUUUCCCUAAUCUCAUCUGCAUCUCCUCUCUCUGAAAGAGAGGCAGAAGCCCUCUAGAUAUCUUUGCCUUCUCUUCUGGAGACCCUCUGUUUGUCCUUCCAGGUCCCUCUCCACACUUCUGCAUCCUACUCUGUGUCCUAGAUGGACUGCAUCAACCAGCUCUCUCUCACUGAUCAUCAGGCUUCCUGUUAGGGGUCAAACGAAGGGAAGUCCUGGCAGGAGAUAAGAGAGAGGGAGGGAAAUGAGGCUGGGGUAUUCAUUCUCCUGGAUCCCUCCCUCUGGGGCCACUGCAGGCUGGCCUAUCCCUCAGGCCCAUCAGGGCCCUCGCAGCACAGCCCUCUCUGUGCCUGUCCCGGGAGCUGCUCCCUCCUUGUCCUUCAGGCCUGUCAUUAAUCCUGGGGUAGGAUGCUAGCUGUGGGGGUUCCCCAAGUCUUGUGCACACAUUUGCCCCUUUAUUAGACUGUCAUCAGAUCAACCCACUUCUGUACUUUCUUACAGGACCUGAGUGAUACACGUUCUCUCCCAGUCAGGUAUUUAUGUGCAUGUUACACCUCUCCCAGUCUCUCCCAGUUCCCAGUUAUGUACGGAACAGGCCAGACUUUAAGCCUUUCACUUUAGAACAAUUCUGAGAAAUGCAUUUAUUUGCUCUUAAAUGUUUUUGAAGUACCUAUAAUAUAUUUGAAACGCCUACUAUAGGCCAGGCAUGGUGGCUCACGCCUGAAAUCCUGGCACUUUGGGAAUCUGACAGCUGGAUAGCUUGAGCCAGGGAGUUCAAGACCAGCCUGGGUGAUAUGGUGAAACCCCAUCUCUACAAAAAAAUACAAAAAUUAGCUGGGUGUUGUGACACACUUGGGAGGCUGAGAGGUGGGAGAAUUGCUUGAGCCCAGGGGGUUGAGGCUGCAGUGAGCCAUCAUCACACCACUUGCAUUCCAGCCUGGGCAACAGAGCGAGACUACGCAUCAAAAAAGAAGAAAAAAAAAAAAA